GAUGAACGCUGGCGGCGUGCCUAAUACAUGCAAGUCGAGCGAACAGAUGAGGAGCUUGCUCCUCUGACGUUAUCGGCGGACGGGUGAGUAACACGUGGAUAACCUACCUAUAAGACUGGGAUAACUUCGGGAAACCGGAGCUAAUACCGGAUAAUAUAUUGAACCGCAUGGUUCAAUAGUGAAAGACGGUUUUGCUGUCACUUAUAGAUGGAUCCGCGCCGCAUUAGCUAGUUGGUAAGGUAACGGCUUACCAAGGCAACGAUGCGUAGCCGACCUGAGAGGGUGAUCGGACACACUGGAAGUGAGACACGGUCCAGACUCCGACGGGAGGCAGCAGUAGGGAAUCUUACGCAAUGGGCGAAAGCCUGACGGAGAAAAGCCGCGUGAGGGAUGAAGGUCUUCGGAUCGUAAAACUAUGUUAUUAGGGAAGAACAAAUGUGUAAGUAACUAUGAACGUCUUGACGGUACCUAAUCAGAAAGCCACGGCUAACUACGUG
rnacentral:rRNA from 1 species